CGAUGAAGCCGCUUCGGUGGUGGAUUAGUGGCGAACGGGUGAGUAACACGUGGGCAAUCUGCCCUUCACUCUGGGACAAGCCCUGGAAACGGGGUCUAAUACCGGAUAAUACUCCUGCCUGCAUGGGUGGGGGUUGAAAGCUCCGGCGGUGAAGGAUGAGCCCGCGGCCUAUCAGCUUGUUGGUGGGGUAAUGGCCUACCAAGGCGACGACGGGUAGCCGGCCUGAGAGGGCGACCGGCCACACUGGGACUGAGACACGGCCCAGACUCCUACGGGAGGCAGCAGUGGGGAAUAUUGCACAAUGGGCGAAAGCCUGAUGCAGCGACGCCGCGUGAGGGAUGACGGCCUUCGGGUUGUAAACCUCUUUCAGCAGGGAAGAAGCGCAAGUGACGGUACCUGCAGAAGAAGCGCCGGCUAACUACGUGCCAGCAGCCGCGGUAAUACGUAGGGCGCAAGCGUUGUCCGGAAUUAUUGGGCGUAAAGAGCUCGUAGGCGGCUUGUCACGUCGGAUGUGAAAGCCCGGGGCUUAACCCCGGGUCUGCAUUCGAUACGGGCUAGCUAGAGUGUGGUAGGGGAGAUCGGAAUUCCUGGUGUAGCGGUGAAAUGCGCAGAUAUCAGGAGGAACACCGGUGGCGAAGGCGGAUCUCUGGGCCAUUACUGACGCUGAGGAGCGAAAGCGUGGGGAGCGAACAGGAUUAGAUACCCUGGUAGUCCACGCCGUAAACGUUGGGAACUAGGUGUUGGCGACAUUCCACGUCGUC
rnacentral:rRNA from 1 species